CGGGAGGAACUCAGCAGAUCAGGCAGCAUCCGUGGAGGGAAAUGAACAGUCGACGUUCCGGGCCGAGACGCUUCAUCAGGACUGGAGGAGGAAGAAGGCAGAAGCCGGAAGAAGGAGGUGGGGGGAGGAGCACACGCACACUGAUGCUGCCUGACCUGCUGAGUUCCUCCAGUAUUUUGUGUGUGUUGCUCCAGAUUCCAGCAUCUACAGAGUCUCUGGUGAGCACCUUAUUCAAGACUAGAAGGAAAAUAGAAGCAACCCGGGGUGAAUAAAACAGAGGAGACAGAUGAAAAUCCAGUCAGAGGGAAAAGCAGAACUUCAAUGUCAGCAUUCCUGUAAGAGAAGUAGCAAUGAAUUCAACAGUCAGCUAAUGGUCCUGCCGGAGGGUUGCAAUACUAUCCCUGUGGCUGCUGUAUGGCUGCUGAAGGAUGGCCUCUUUCCAGGCUUGGCAAUUUAGAAGUCAGUGAUGGAGGAACACGAGUAGCUCUCACCUGGAUGGGCGAGCUCCCAACUGCAGCAUCUCACCAGAAAUGCCGACAGUUUGGGAAGGCUAGUUGGGGGUUGGUGUGAGAAAAGGGGCUGGAGAGGGCUCUGCCUGAGAGCCAAUAGCAGGAAGAGAAAUCCUUGCAUUCUGAGAGGGGACAGGACAUUCAAUCUCUGUUAAUGUUGCUAAAACUGUCAUAGUGAUAACCAUCUGUAGCUCAGUGGAAAAGCCUUUGAGCACUUCCGCCCCAUGUAUGUGAGUAAACUGUUUGCAUCUUGAAACUAGGCUGCUAAGUUAUUUAAUACUGAAUGAGGUUCAACACUAGGGUCUUAGAGGAAAUGGUUAGUGAGAUAGUUCAUGCAUUGGUUUUAAUUUUUGAAACAUUCCCUCGACUGGGGAAAAGUUUCAUGAGAAUGGAAAAUAGCAAAUGUAAUUCCUCUGUUUAAAAAUGAAGGGAGACUGGAUUAAGGAAAGUUGGUUGAACAUCUGUCAUGGGGAGAAUUUCAGGAGGUCUUAUUAAAGAUGUUAUAGCAGGGCACUUAGAAAAAAAAUCAUGGUAUUCAGGUAAACACAGCAUGAUUUUAUAAAAAGGAUGUCAUGUUUAAUUAAUGUAUUGGAGUUCUUUGAAGAAGGAACAUGUGCUGUGGAUAAAGGGAACCAAUGGAUGUACAGUAGAUUUCUAGAAGGCUUUUCAAUAAGGGGCCACAUCAGAGGAUGCAGAAAAUAAAAGCUCAGAGUAGGAGGCAACACAGUGUGGAUGGAAUCUUGGCUAGCUAACUCUAGGCAGAAGUGAGCCUUUUUCUGCUGGCAAGAUGUAAUGAGUCUGUAACAUUAGGGCCUCAUUUUCACAGCUUGUAUUAAUAACUUGGAUGAAGAUACUGUUAAAUUUGCUGACACAGAUAGGUAGGAAAGUAAGUUGUAAAGAGAACGUAAGGAAGCGGCAAAUGGACAUAAAGGAUAAAGUGGGCAUCAUGCAGGCGUGGAAGUUAGUACUGCAGGCUCACAACAGCAGAUACUUGGAUUUAAACCUGCCCUCGGUGCUGCCACUGUGGACUUUGCACAUUUUCCCUUUAAACACGUGGUUCUCCUCUGAUGCUCCGAUUUUCUCCCAUAUCCCAAAGAUGUACUGGUAGUUUAAUUGUACACUAUAAAUUACCCUUAGUGUGGGUAAAUAGCAAAAAGAAUCAAAAGGGGGUUGAUAACCCUGUAUGAGAGACAAUGCUAGGAAUUAUUCAGGUGUUGUGGAAUUAUGUGGAUAGCAGACAUUAACUAAAAUGCAAACCAGUCUUCAACAAAAAAAAAACCCUGUUCACAAUAUAACUUCCACUGAUACUUAUAGGCCAUCAAUACCAGUCAUCGGGUAUGGGGCAUUCUGAUUCUGUAUCAUUGUAAUUACACAGAGGAAGGUAAUAGAUUAAUGUUCAUGUCAAUCGGCCCUCAUUGAAACUCUCAUGAUGAGAUCAGGGAAGGCAUUAAGUGGCCAUCUCCUGCAUUAACACCUCAUUAAAGACAUGUCACUGCCAUUUAAUACAUAUUUCAGGACAUGUCUGUUUUAUCACUUAAUAUUCUGGCCAUUUGUAUAUCCAGGGAGCCAUCCCUCAACAUUGUAACAAAAGCAGUGUAUUUUGGGUGUCUGGUGUUUUGUGCUCAGAACCCCUUGGACCAACCACCAGUAUCUGAAUAUUCAGAAGGGUUCUACCAGUUGGGGAUGUGCUCACAUUGUAAAUAUGUAAUUCUGCAGUUACUGGUCUACAAUCAAAAUGUUAAAGUAGGAAAUUAUAGCCAUUGAAACUGUAGUUAAUCAUUUAUUGUCUUUUUGUUUAAAAAGUAUAAAACAUGACUGUAUUGUCGGGUGUCGGGAGAGGAGAAGUA